GACGAACGCUGGCGGCGUGCUUAACACAUGCAAGUCGAACGGAGCGAAUGAAAGCUUGCUUUUAUGAGCUUAGUGGCAAACGGGUGAGUAACACGUAGACAACCUGCCGAUCAGAUGGGGACAACAUUCCGAAAGGAAUGCUAAUACCGAAUGAAGUGUGGGGGAGGCAUCUUCCCUACAUGAAAGAUGGCCUCUAUUUAUAAGCUAUCACUGAUCGAUGGGUCUGCGUCUGAUUAGCUAGUAGGUAAGGUAACGGCUUACCUAGGCGACGAUCAGUAGCCGGUCUGAGAGGAUGAACGGCCACAUUGGGACUGAGACACGGCCCAGACUCCUACGGGAGGCAGCAGUGGGGAAUCUUCCGCAAUGGGCGCAAGCCUGACGGAGCAACGCCGCGUGAGUGAAGAAGGUCUUCGGAUCGUAAAGCUCCGUUGCAAGGGGACGAACGUACAUAAGUGAAUAAGCUUAU
rnacentral:rRNA from 1 species